rnacentral:rRNA from 1 species
GCAAGUCGAACGCCCUCUUCGGAGGGAGUGGCAGACGGGUGAGUAACGCGUGGGAACCUACCCAAUAGUACGGAAUAACUCAGAGAAAUUUGUGCUAAUACCGUAUACGCCCUUCGGGGGAAAGAUUUAUCGCUAUUGGAUGGGCCCGCGUUGGAUUAGGUAGUUGGUGGGGUAAUGGCCUACCAAGUCUACGAUCUAUAGCUGGUUUUAGAGGAUGAUC